rnacentral:rRNA from 1 species
UGGCGGCAUGCCUAACACAUGCAAGUCGAACGAGACCUUCGGGUCUAGUGGCGCACGGGUGCGUAACGCGUGGGAACCUGCCUUUAGGUUCGGAAUAACAGUGAGAAAUUACUGCUAAUACCGGAUGAUGUCUUCGGACCAAAGAUUUAUCGCCUUUAGAUGGGCCCGCGUUGGAUUAGCUAGUUGGUGGGGUAAAGGCCUACCAAGGCGACGAUCCAUAGCUGGUCUGAGAGGAUGAUCAGCCACACUGGGACUGAGACACGGCCCAGACUCCUACGGGAGGCAGCAGUGGGGAAUAUUGGACAAUGGGCGAAAGCCUGAUCCAGCAAUGCCGCGUGAGUGAUGAAGGCCUUAGGGUUGUAAAGCUCUUUUACCCGAGAUGAUAAUGACAGUAUCGGGAGAAUAAGCUCCGGCUAACUCCGUG